CUUUAAUGUACAAAAGCUCCUAGAGAUAGCAAGAAAGGAAAUUUCCUACACUGAUGUUCCAUUAUGCUUCUUUCAGCUAUCUCUGUUUCAGCCCAUCUGAAUGUAGACAUUCCCAGCUUCUGAAGAACUCUCAGUCUAAAUACAGCGUAUGGGUUUCUUUUCAGAAACAAAAUGCCAAUCAUAUGAAAGUGAAAGCAAUUCAUGAACCUGAAGUCCUCUUCAUUUCUGCAUUUGUUCUCUGGUACUUGGAGGGAAUCAGAUUCUGUACAUGUUCCACUCUCAUGCACUAUAAACUGCACAUGUAGAUUAACUAUAAUUUUGGAAGCAUCUGUCUCACUGGUUUGGGCAGACAGGUGAGAUGGAAUUCAAUUCAUCUAAGUGCUAAGUGCCUUUUCCAAGUUACACUUGUAGGCUGUCUCUAUGGUCACUGGAAACACAUAGACACUGACAAAUGUCAACUCAAUCUCCCUUAAGAUACGACUAACAGAGAGUAGAUGAAAUAUGAGUGGGAAGUUCUGGAUAUCUUUUCAUUAUAUUUCAUUUUAUGAAAUUCACUAUAGAGAAUCUACACAACAAGCUUAGAGUUAAUUUCUAACUUCUAAAUAGCUAAUGGAAGCUAAAAGAACUUCACCUGCUCACUUGUUUGAACUACUUUAUCUUCAUCGCUCACUAAGUCCUCUUUUAUAAAUCUGAAGACCUCCUGCACAUACUCCUGCUACCACAGUCUUCUUUGAAGCAAUGUCUAAAUUUUAAAAUGUAAUCAAAAUAGGUUUAAAACACAUCCACAGCAAUUAGCAGUAUUAUCUUAAUUGCUAUGUGGUAUGAUUUAUGCAUCAAAAUCUAUUAUGCAACUUUGAAAAAUCUUUCUUGUCACCUAUGCAGUAGUUAUAAACAAAGAAUAUCUUCUAAUUCAGGCCCUCUGUCAUUUAAGAGGACAGACACAGUGAUGCUCUAUGGACCCAUGAAUUUCAAUUAAUUCUUCUGCAAUUUACAUAUAUAAUUGAACAGCUUGGCUUCAUUGUCCAAGCAUUCUCAUCAGUGUUUGCGAUUAUGCUGAGCUCCUUUUACAAAGCUGCAUUCUCUUUGCAUACAUUUCAAAAGGAAUAUCUCGUAGAAGAAGAUUCUGCUCCUUCAACUUCUCCUGUUCUCAUUCUCUGUCUUCGUUUUUCUGAGCCUCUGUGAUAUUUGAAGUCUUCAUGCUUUCAUUUGCAUCCUCCUGAGAAGAUCCUACAGUGAGAGGCUAGAAGGAAGAAUCGCUCAUGGCUUCUAACCACCCAGAAAGACAUUAAAAAUAAAAUCAUAUUUUUUUCAACUGCA
rnacentral:lncRNA from 1 species